AGCAGCCGCGGUAAUUCCAGCUCCAAUAGCGUAUAUUAAAGUUGUUGCAGUUAAAAAGCUCGUAGUUGAAUUUCGGGGUCGGUAGGUUGGUCAUGCCUCAGGUAUGCACUGGUCUCACUGAUUCCUCCUUCCUGAUGAGCCGUAAUGCCAUUAAUUUGGUGUUGCGAGGAAUCUGGACUGUUACUUUGAAAAAAUUAGAGUGUUUAAAGCAAGCUAACGCUUGAAUACAUUAGCAUGGAAUAAUGGAAUAGGACGUUCGAUCCUAUUUUGUUGGUUUCUAGGAUUGACGUAAUGAUUAAUAGGGAUAGUUGGGGGCAUUAGUAUUCAAUUGUCAGAGGUGAAAUUCUUGGAUUUAUUGAAGACUAACUACUGCGAAAGCAUUUGCCAAGGAUGUUUUCAUUAAUCAAGAACGAAAGUUAGGGGAUCGAAGACGAUCAGAUACCGUCGUAG
rnacentral:rRNA from 1 species